rnacentral:rRNA from 1 species
GGGGAAUAUUGCACAAUGGGGGAAACCCUGAUGCAGCGACGCCGCGUGGAGGAAGAAGGUCUUCGGAUUGUAAACUCCUGUUGUUGGGGAAGAUAAUGACGGUACCCAACAAGGAAGUGACGGCUAACUACGUGCCAGCAGCCGCGGUAAAACGUAGGUCACAAGCGUUGUCCGGAAUUACUGGGUGUAAAGGGAGCGCAGGCGGGAAGACAAGUUGGAAGUGAAAUCUAUGGGCUCAACCCAUAAACUGCUUUCAAAACUGUUUUUCUUGAGUAGUGCAGAGGUAGGCGGAAUUCCCGGUGUAGCGGUGGAAUGCGUAGAUAUCGGGAGGAACACCAGUGGCGAAGGCGGCCUACUGGGCACCAACUGACGCUGAGGCUCGAAAGUGUGGGUAGCAAACAGGAUUAGAUACCCUGGUAGUCCACACCGUAAACGAUGAUUACUAGGUGUUGGAGGAUUGACCCCUUCAGUGCCGCAGUUAACACAAUAAGUAAUCCACCUGGGGAGUACGACCGCAAGGUUGAAACUCAAAGGAAUUGACGGGGGCCCGCACAAGCAGUGGAGUAUGUGGUUUAAUUCGACGCAACGCGAAGAACCUUACCAAGUCUUGACAUCCCUUGACAGACAUAGAAAUAUGUAAUCUCUUCGGAGCAAGGAGACAGGUGGUGCAUGGUUGUCGUCAGCUCGUGUCGUGAGAUGUUGGGUUAAGUCCCGCAACGAGCGCAACCCUUAUGGUCAGUUACUACGCAAGAGGACUCUGGCCAGACUGCCGUUGACAAAACGGAGGAAGGUGGGGAUGACGUCAAAUCAUCAUGCCCUUUAUGACUUGGGCUACACACGUACUACAAUGGCGUUAAACAAAGAGAAGCAAGACCGCGAGGGGGAGCAAAACUCAGAAACAACGUCCCAGUUCGGACUGCAGGCUGCAACUCGCCUGCAGGAAGUCGGAAUUGCUAGUAAUCGUGGAUCAGCAUGCCACGGGGAAUACGUUCCCG